CAGAGGUGGCUAGCGUUGUUCGGAAUUACUGGGCGUAAAGGGCGCGUAGGCGGCCUUCUAAGUCGGACGUGAAAUCCCCAGGCUUAACUUGGGAACUGCGUCUGAUACUGGAAGGCUUGAGUGCGGGAGAGGGAUGUGGAAUUCCAGGUGUAGCGGUGAAAUGCGUAGAUAUCUGGAGGAACACCGGUGGCGAAGGCGGCAUCCUGGACCGACACUGACGCUGAGGCGCGAAAGCCAGGGGAGCAAACGGGAUUAGAUACCCCGGUAGUCCUGGCCCUAAACGAUGAGUGCUUGGUGUGGCGGGUAUCGAUCCCUGCCGUGCCGAAGCUAACGCAUUAAGCACUCCGCCUGGGGAGUACGGUCGCAAGGCUG
rnacentral:rRNA from 1 species